rnacentral:tRNA from 1 species
GGCGUGGUAGCCAAGUGGUAAGGCAACAGUCUGCAAAACUGUUAUACGUGGGUUCAAUUCCCACCCACGCCU